GACUAGGCGCGCCAUAAGCCCAAAAAAAUUAAGUGGUCCACUCUUUUUGUAAUUAAAACCAAAAAAGUUGGUUGUCUGCCAUUAACAUUAAAAUUAAAAAAAAACCCCAUUUCUUUAAUCCCAUUCUGCUGAAUUCAAAAAAGAAAACCAAGGGGUUUAGCCCCCUUUCUCCUUCUGUUAGGGCGCAGCGCCCAUCAUCGCAGCGCUUCCCCUCCCCUGAGCGCUCAUCAGCGACCGUCGGAAACCAGGUGUUGUUGCGGAUAUCUCGGAAGCACGAGGCGUGACAAAGAGGGACUGCUGGUAGCGCAUGUCUCGGAGGUGCGGUGGAUGGUGGAGUGGGACGCUGGUGAGAGGCGUGCAGCGUGAGGGCUCAAGCAACAACUUUAGGUUUCUGUUUGUUUGGCCCUUGUUUGGGUUUAUUUUUGGGCCUGUGUUUUAGAUGUAAAUGGGUCUUGGGUUUGUGAGAUUUGGGCCUGGGCAUAAAUUUGGUCCUACAAAUAUGUUUAAGCAUUUGAUGCCUACGGGCUUUGUAUAUCGAUAGCUUGGUGUGGUGUAGUUCACCCACGUGUCCAAGUCCGUUUUAUUAAGGUUCCACUGAAUGAAACAUUGAAAUUAAAAUUUGAAACGGAAAAAUGAAAAUUAACCAGAUUUGAUAUGCUGAAAAA